rnacentral:lncRNA from 1 species
GAAAACAAGUGCUUGCAAACUUGAACCACGUAGUCACUUCUACUCUUUCAGCGUUGGAACAUUUAUUAUAGAAAUCAUCUUAAAAACUGUAUCCAAUUAUAAUUAUAAACUAUUUUAUUGAUAGCUGGUAAGCUUUAGAAUUGUAUGAAAUAGCAUCUUGGGUGCAAUUCCUAUGCAAAUGUGGCAUGCUUCAUAGUAAUAUUAUAAUUGACACAAUCAUGCUAUCAUGUGCAAUUGAAAACAAAAGAAUAUGUCCAAAUAAAUAGAUUCGGAUAUUAUAUUUAGAAAUUAUAAACAUGUUCCCACAAUUGUGUGUUGAACUAGAAUGGAAAAUAUAUAGUGAUCAUAACAAUAGUCGAUUGCACUAGAAAAAUGUCUGGGUUUCAUCUCUUUACUCCUUAGCAACACCUCCAAGUUUGAUAAGCUUCUCUCAGUUGUGAUCCUUGCUUGGACCCGGUGGUGUUGUUAGAGUAUUCUUGGGAAGCUUUUGGAAAACUUGGCCUUCCAGCAACAUCUUCCUGUUGCCCGUCGAAUUGAUCGCCACUUCACUGUUAUUCAUUCCAAUCCUGAACAAAGAUCCACUCACUCCACCAUGGCACUCGCAAAGACACGGAGAGAACAUCACCAUCAUCACGAGGAAGACAGCCAGCGCCUGAGUAAAUCUCGCCAUUCCCAAAGAGCCUAGAACGGAUCCGGUCCCUCUAGACGAUGAUUCUUAGCACUGUGAUCGCGUUGUCAAAAUCUCCAAAACCGGUGAUAUGAAUCGUCGAGAACGUACCUUGAAAACUCUACUAUGAUCGCCCGAGUGGAAAAAUUCGAUGCGUAUGCUUGGACAUG